AUUGAACGCUGGCGGCAGGCCUAACACAUGCAAGUCGAGCGGAUGAAGGGAGCUUGCUCCUGGAUUCAGCGGCGGACGGGUGAGUAAUGCCUAGGAAUCUGCCUGGUCGUGGGGGAUAACGUCCGUAAACGGGCGCUAAUACCGCAUACGUCCUGAGGGAGAAAGUGGGGGAUCUUCGGACCUCACGCUAUCAGAUGAGCCUAGGUCGGAUUAGCUAGUUGGUGGGGUAAAGGCCUACCAAGGCGACGAUCCGUAACUGGUCUGAGAGGAUGAUCAGUCACACUGGAACUGAGACACGGUCCAGACUCCUACGGGAGGCAGCAGUGGGGAAUAUUGGACAAUGGACGAAAGCCUGAUCCAGCCAUGCCGCGUGUGUGAAGAAGGUCUUCGGAUUGUAAAGCACUUUAAGUUGGGAGGAAGGGAAGUAAGUUAAUACCUUGCUGUUUUGACGUUACCAACAGAAUAAGCAACGGCUAACUUCGUG
rnacentral:rRNA from 1 species